AUUGAACGCUGGCGGCAUGCCUUACACAUGCAAGUCGAACGGCAGCGGACCUUCGGGUGCCGGCGAAUGGCGAACGGGUGAGUAAAGUAUCGGAACGUACCUUUCAGUGGGGGAUAACUGUCCGAAAGGACAGCUAAUACCGCAUAUUCUGUGAGCAGGAAAGCAGGGGAUCGCAAGACCUUGCGCUGAUUGAGCGGCCGAUAUCAGAUUAGCUAGUUGGUGAGGUAAAGGCUCACCAAGGCGACGAUCUGUAGCGGGUCUGAGAGGAUGAUCCGCCACACUGGAACUGAGACACGGUCCAGACUCCUACGGGAGGCAGCAGUGGGGAAUUUUGGACAAUGGGGGCAACCCUGAUCCAGCCAUGCCGCGUGAGUGAAGAAGGCCUCGGUUGU
rnacentral:rRNA from 1 species